UCCAAUUAGCAGACAAUCAAACCCACUGAUAUCAGUUCACAGUGAGCUCCUCUAUGAUCACAAUAAAGAUCAAUUAAUUCUACUGUAGAGUUUUUAAGUAAUUCCUCUUCAAUAAAGUAUAUUCCAAAACAAUAAUGUGUUUAUUUAUUUUGUUUCUCUUUUAAAUUUACUUAAUUAUUUACUGAAUUACAAGAGCGGCUAGAUUAACCGUGGUUUCAGGAAGCGCGGCUGCCUUAACCGCAGUAGUCAUAUGGAUAUUCUAAGUUGUUAAAGCCGAAGCAGACGCUGUCAGAGAGGAAGCUAAAAUGGCGGAUAUUUGGGAGAGAGCGAGUAUGGUGAGAAAACACUCCCACGUAAAUAAGAUCCUACGAUAAGGACAGAGAGUGAGGAAAAGUGAACACCUCUCUCGUUUGUGGACUGGCUGAAUGAAUUGGAUGCUCAAGAGUCAAAGACUUGUAGUAAUAGCAAUCCGUUUAAAACCAGUUCUGCUCCGUGUCAUACAUCAGCUCCAGUAAACAGGUCCACAUGUUGCUAUGAGCCACACUUAGCACAGCAAGCAGUGAGAGAAACUCAGAGGUGGACAAAGUACACAACUCCAUUACUUGAGUGAAAGUACAGAUACUUCUCGUGAAAUAUUACUCUAUUACAAGUGAAAGUUGUGCAACCCGCUUAAAAUUAACCUAAAGCAGAGUCAAGAGAUUUUUAGUUGUAUCUAAUAUUUAGGUUAUUUUCAGCUAUGUGUCUUAACUGCAUAUCAUUAUUGUCCAGCAGAUGGCAGUAGUGGCGCUGCAGAGAGGUGAAACCAAUCUAGUUUUCAGUAACGAGGAGAGGGAAACAAAUGCGAUUGAAUGGUAGUGAGCUUAGCGGAGCUCUACACGAGGAAAGAACCACACUGAGUUAAAUUUAAUACAUAAGGUUUAGAGCUAUUUUGCUAGUUUCUACUUAGAAAUCAUCUUUUAUACGGUAUCACGAGGGAAGAGGCGUUUUAGUACUGAUGAGGAUUUGUGGAUUUUUCUGUUUCUCCGGUUGGUUUUUUGUAUGCAUGAUUUGAUAAGGCCAUUGGAUUCACCUCCAUUGGACAGACAGAAGCAUGGCAGAAGAGCAGAGGAGUGCGAGGAGUCCUUAUCAGCAGGAACUGUUCCAUUCUUGUCUUUCAUUUCAUCUCACAGAAAAGCGCUGGAGAUCUCAUCACACUUUAAAAAACACACACUACCCGGGUAGAACAUUUUUUCAUUUUUUUUUUCAGAGCUCUGAUCCUAAUUUUGAAAAGCUCAUUUUGAUUUUUCUUUGUCCAUAUUUUUUUUCUAAGUACACUGACACUGAUUGGUCUAGAAAGACACUGGAUUUUACAACUGAAGGAAAAAAUAUUGGAUUUAAAUUCUGAAUUGAAAGGACAUUCCAACAUUUGACAUUGGUUCUAUACUAAAAGGACAUUGAGUUCUGAGUGUGAAGGCCUUACAGCUGUAAAGACAGAUGUUUACUUAAAUAAAAUUACAGAAGUACUUGCUUUUAAAAGUGCUUAAGUAUCAAAUGUAAA